rnacentral:rRNA from 1 species
GGUCAAGCUAAUAAGGC